CCCUGGGUCCCUUUGGAUCCUCCGGGACCCCAAAAUUCCAAAAAAUUCCCAAAAAUUCCCAAAAAAUUCCCAAAAAAUUCCCAAAAAAUUUCCCAAAAUUCCCCAAAUUUUUCCUCAAAUUUCCCCCAAAACUCCAAAAAUUCCAGUUCAAACCAGUUCAAACCAGUUCAAACCAGUUCAGAGCACUUUAAACCAGUCCAAACCAGUCCAAACCAGUCCAAACCAGUCAAUCCCUUUCCAUUCCAGUUCAAACCAGUUCAAACCAGUCCAAACCAGUUAAUCCCAGUCCAUUCCAGUCCAUUCCAGUUCCAACCAGUUCAAACCAGUCCAUUCCAGUUCAAACCAGUCCCUCCCAGUCCACCCCAGUCCGUCCCAGUUCCAGCUGAGCAGGGGGGUCCAGAUGGGCCCUGGCAGCAGCUGACAAACCAGUACGGACCAGUAUGGACCAGUACGGACCAGUACGGACCAGUACGGACCAGUACGGACCAGUAUGAACCAGUACGGACCAGUAUGAACCAGUACGGACCAGUAUGGACCAGUAUAAACCAGUAUGGACCAGUACGGACCAGUAUGGACCAGUAUAAACCAGUAUAAACCAGCACGAGCCAGUAUGAACCAGUAUAAACCAGUAUGAACCAGUAUAAACCAGUAUGGACCAGUGCAGUUUUGAAGCAUAUCCCAGUCUGUCCCAGUUCAUCCCAGUAAAUCCCAGUUUGUCCCAGUCCCUCAUUCCUCCGGUGCUCCCAGUUUGUCCCAGUUUAUCCCAGUUCCCCCAGUAUUCCCAUUCCCCAGUUUGUCCCAGUUUGUCCCAGUUUGUCCCAGUUUGUCCCAGUUUGUCCCAGUUUGUCCCAGUUUAUCCCAGUUUAUCCCAGUUUAUCCCAGUUUGUCCCAGUUUGUCCCAGUUUGUCCCAGUGCUCCCAGUAUUCCCAAUAUUCCCAUUUCCCAGUCGCUCCCAGUGCUCCCAGUUUGAUCCCAGUUUGUUCCCAGUCUCUCCCAGUCCAUCCCAGUCCAUCCCAGCUUGAUCCCAGUUUGAUCCCAGUUCCAUCCCAGCUUGAUCCCAGUUUGUUCCCAGUCUCUCCCAGUCCCUCCCAGUCCCUCCCAGUACCCGCAGUUCUCUCACCGGGCUCUGUCGCUGUCGCGAUUCCCAGCGCCGCCAGCAGCAGCAGCGGCAGCAGCCCCGGCGGGGCCCUCAUGUCGCGACAGAGCCGCGAUAUCGCGAUAGAGGCACCGGGGGGGGGAGCCGCGAUAUCGCGAUAGAGGCAGCGCCAGAUCCGCGGGGCAGAGCCGCGGUAUCGCGAUAGAGGCAGCGGGGGCAGAGCCGCGGUAUCGCGAUAUCGGAGCCGGCAGAGCCCCGCGAUGUCGCGAUAGAAGCCGGCGGGGCCGCCCCGCGAUGGAGGCGCCGAUCGAGCCCCGCGAUGUCGCGACAGAGCCCCCGGGACGUGGCGGCCCCGGCGCGAGCGGGAGCCGAGUGCGGGAACGGGAGCGGGAGCGGGGCCACG
rnacentral:lncRNA from 1 species